AGCUUUGCGCAGUGGCAGUAUCGUAGCCAAUGAGGUUUAUCCGUGGUGCGAUUAUUGCUAAUUGAAAACUUUUCCCAAAUACUUAUUUAGUAGAGCCUAUUAUGUCAUAUAGUAAGCUAAUUCAAUAAACAGCAAAAGAGAAUGAAAUAGAAGUUUUUUU
rnacentral:snRNA from 1 species